GACGUAGGGUGCAAGCGUUGUCCGGAUUUACUGGGCGUAAAGGGCGCGUAGGCGGUCUGUUAAGUGGGAAGUGAAAUCUCCAGGGCUCAACCCGGAAACUGCUUCUAUACUGGCAGGCUGGAGGGAUGCAGAGGUGUGUGGAAUUCCUGGUGAAGCGGUGAAAUGCGUAGAUAUCAGGAGGAACACCCAUGGCGAAGGCAGCACACUGGGCAUCAUCUGACGCUGAGGCGCGAAAGCGUGGGGAGCAAACAGG
rnacentral:rRNA from 1 species